UACGGGGGGGGCAAGCGUUGUUCGGAAUUACUGGGCGUAAAGGGCUCGUAGGCGGCCAACUAAGUCGGAUGUGAAAUCCCCAGGCUUAACCUGGGAACUGCAUCCGAUACUGGAUGGCUUGAAUCCGGGAGAGGGAUGCAGAAUUCCAGGUGUAGCGGUGAAAUGCGUAGAUAUCUGGAGGAACACCGGUGGCGAAGGCGGCAUCCUGGACCGGCAUUGACGCUGAGGCGCGAAAGCCAGGGGAGCAAACGGG
rnacentral:rRNA from 1 species